AUUUCUCUGAGAUGUUUGCAAGCGGGCCAGUCCCCUGAGCCGAUAUUUCAAACCACAAGAAUGUGGCGCUCCACGGUCGGUGCGCAUGCUCGGUUCGCCCGAGAAGCCUUAAGGCCAUGACGACACAUUCACCUUGAACCAAGGGUUCAAGGGUUACAGCCUGCGGCGGCAUCUCGGAGAUUCC
rnacentral:other from 1 species